GUGCUUAAAGUUUUUAUUUCAUCAAUGGCUGCAUAUUUGAUCCAUGACAACUCUGAGGGGAGUGAAUUUUUUUCUAAGUUUGUAAUUUCUUUUUAAAACAGCAUUUAUUUUCGCUUAAUGAGGGGGUGCGGCCUUUGAUUGACAGGUGACGAUCGCGGUGGAUUCUGGGAGCACUGCUCCGGUGUUUUGCUGUCUGCUACAGAUUUAGCGUUAGCAUGAGCGCUAUAUUUCGGUUUUUGUUCUGCUGCCGUGAUGUAAACUGUUCUAACACUCUCUGGGAGUCAUCUGGUGUCUUUUCUCCGGUCUGCUUCUGGUGGUGAGCGGAUUUAUAAUCCAAAACAAUCCAGAAUUUACAUUUAAAGGCCGUAAAAUUCUAAUUUUAACAUAUGAAGAUGACUCCUGCUGAUGUGAUUCAAUAAAAAUCAUGUUUAACAUAUUUGAGUGACCAGUCUCUUCUGUUUAUUCACUGUUUUAGCAUAUAUGUAAGACAAAAGGAAAUGUGGGUCAAAGUCAGAUUGUACAAAAUUUAUUUUUGAAGCAGAUGAAAUGAUUCAAAACAUUACAAACAUUAAUCAUUGAAAAUUCAGAAUUAGUUUCCCUUUAUUCAAAGUAGGGACCUCUAAACAUGUCAUAGUUAGAAACCACCAUCCAUGAUAAUACUGUCUGUUUUUAUACAUUUAAAGAACCUAAUAAAUGAUCCUAAAGAGUAAAUUUCUAUCUACUGAAAAUAAAAUUGUAAGAAAUUAAAGAAAAAAAAAAAA